GAAAUACUGUUACGGUUUGAUUUUGAUUGUGCCCCCGAACUCUCCCAAAGUCACCUUUUUCCCUUUUUUGCCCCGUCUCCUCUCUACGGUUUAUUAUUUUCGUUGGUGUUUUGUUCGCUUACGCGAUUUCGCGAAGAAAAAAAUUCGGUAUACCUGGAUCGUAACAAAGCUGAUUCGAUUACUUCGCUGUUACUGUUGUUGAUUUUGGAUCUGUGUUGUUAUCUUCGGAUCGGUAAUUGAAACUACCUUAGAGAUUUGAUCCAUUUCGUCGCCAAAUUAGGGUUUUUUNNN
rnacentral:lncRNA from 1 species